CAGUAGCCACGGUAAUACGAAGGGUGCAAGCGUUACUCGGAAUUACUGGGCGUAAAGCGUGCGUAGGUGGUGGUUUAAGUCCGCUGUGAAAGCCCUGGGCUCAACCUGGGAAUUGCAGUGGAUACUGGGUCACUAGAGUGUGGUAGAGGAUAGUGGAAUUUCCGGUGUAGCAGUGAAAUGCGUAGAGAUCGGAAGGAACAUCUGUGGCGAAGGCGACUAUCUGGGCCAACACUGACACUGAGGCACGAAAGCGUGGGGAGCAAACAGGAUUAGAUACCCCCGUAGUCCCUGUCUCUUAUAC
rnacentral:rRNA from 1 species